AUCGGUGGACAGGUGCUGCGAUGGCUGUCGUCAGCUCGUGUCGUGAGAUGUUGGGUUAAGUCCGCAACGAGCGCAACCCUCGUCCUUAGUUGCCAGCAUUCAGUUGGGCACUCUAAGGAGACUGCCGGUGUUAAACCGGAGGAAGGCGGGGAUGACGUCAAGUCCUCAUGGCCCUUAUGUCCAGGGCUACACACGUGCUACAAUGGCCGGUACAAAGGGUAGCAAGACCGCGAGGUGGAGCCAAUCCCAAAAAGCCGGUCUCAGUUCGGAUUGGAGUCUGCAACUCGACUCCAUGAAGUUGGAAUCGCUAGUAAUCGUGGAUCAGCAUGCCACGGUGAAUACGUUCCCGGGCCUU
rnacentral:rRNA from 1 species